rnacentral:rRNA from 1 species
CGGCCCAAACUCCUACGGGAGGCAGCAGUGAGGAAUAUUGGUCAAUGGGCGCGAGCCUGAACCAGCCAAGUAGCGUGGAGGAUGACUGCCCUACGGGUUGUAAACUCCUUUUAUAAGGGAAUAAAGGCGUCCACGUGUGGACGUUUGCAUGUACCUUAUGAAUAAGCAUCGGCUAACUCCGUGCCAGCAGCCGCGGUAAUACGGAGGAUGCGAGCGUUAUCCGGAUUUAUUGGGUUUAAAGGGAGCGCAGACGGCCUUUUAAGUCAGCUGUGAAAGUUUGCGGCUCAACCGUAAAAUUGCAGUUGAUACUGGGAGGCUUGAGUACGGUCGCGGCAUGCGGAAUUCGUGGUGUAGCGGUGAAAUGCAUAGAUAUCACGAAGAACCCCGAUUGCGAAGGCAGCAUGCCAGCCCGUGACUGACGUUGAGGCUCGAAGGUGCGGGUAUCAAACAGGAUUAGAUACCCUGGUAGUCCGCACGGUAAACGAUGGACACCCGCUGUCGGCGAUAUACAGUCGGCGGCUUAGCGAAAGCGUUAAGUGUCCCACCUGGGGAGUACGCCGGCAACGGUGAAACUCAAAGGAAUUGACGGGGGCCCGCACAAGCGGAGGAACAUGUGGUUUAAUUCGAUGAUACGCGAGGAACCUUACCCGGGCUUGAACUGCGCCUGAAUAUGUCUGAAAGGUCAUAGCCGCAAGGCAGGCGUGGAGGUGCUGCAUGGUUGUCGUCAGCUCGUGCCGUGAGGUGUCGGCUUAAGUGCCAUAACGAGCGCAACCCCUACUGACAGUUGCCAUCAGGCAAGCUGGGGACUCUGUCGGUACUGCCAUCGUAAGAUGCGAGGAAGGCGGGGAUGACGUCAAAUCAGCACGGCCCUUACGUCCGGGGCUACACACGUGUUACAAUGGGGGGUACAGAGGGCUGCCAGCCGGCGACGGCGCGCGAAUCCCGAAAGCCCCUCCCAGUUCGGACUGGAGCCUGCAACCCGGCUCCACGAAGCUGGAUUCGCUAGUAAUCGCGCAUCAGCCAUGGCGCGGU